rnacentral:rRNA from 1 species
AGUGAACGCUGGCGGUAGGCCUAACACAUGCAAGUCGAACGGCAGCACAGUAAGAGCUUGCUCUUACGGGUGGCGAGUGGCGGACGGGUGAGGAAUACAUCGGAAUCUACUUUUUCGUGGGGGAUAACGUAGGGAAACCUACGCUAAUACCGCAUACGACCUACGGGUGAAAGCAGGGGAUCUUCGUACCUUGCGCGAUUGAAUGAGCCGAUGUCGGAUUAGCUAGUUGGCGGGGUAAAGGCCCACCAAGGCGACGAUCCGUAGCUGGUCUGAGAGGAUGAUCAGCCACACUGGAACUGAGACACGGUCCAGACUCCUACGGGAGGCAGCAGUGGGGAAUAUUGGACAAUGGGCGCAAGCCUGAUCCAGCCAUACCGCGUGGGUGAAGAAGGCCUUCGGGUUGUAAAGCCCUUUUGUUGGGAAAGAAAAGCAGCAGGUUAAUACCCCGCUGUUCUGACGGUACCCAAAGAAUAAGCACCGGCUAACUUCGUG